GACUUAGUGUUCCAUCGGUUACGGAGAUCGUCUUGGUAGUUAAGAGGCAGGUAUUUUUCUUUAAGUCUCUCUUUCAUCUCUACCCAAUCAGUUAUUUCAUGUUGUUGUCUCCUAGCUAACAGUUGUUCAGUGUUUUGCCAAAACAGCUUAGCUCGACCAAGGAGUUUCAUUCUAGCGAAUCGAACUUUUUUAUCCUCGGACAGAUUGUACCACUCAAAGAAGUGGUCCAUUUCGUGUAACCAAUCAGAGAAGACUUUCGGGUCAAGACGACCGUCAAAAGUGGGGGCUUCAACCCUAAUGCCUCGCAUUACAUCUUCAUCAGGGUCACGAGGUUCUCUGGGUUCUACGGUAUGUCGGUGACCUCUAUCAAUAUG
rnacentral:lncRNA from 1 species